rnacentral:rRNA from 1 species
AAAAGGGAAGCGCUUGUGACCAGACUUGCGUCCGGUGAAUCACCCAGCUCUCGCGGCUGGGGCACUUCGCCGGCACAGGCCAGCAUCAGCUUGCCGUCGGGGACAAAAGCUUCAGGAACGUGGCUCCNCUCGGGGAGUGUUAUAGCCUGUUGCACAAUACCCUUCGGCGGGCUGAGGUACGCGCUCCGCAAGGAUGCUGGCGUAAU